UGGUGGAGCGAUUUGUCUGGUUAAUUCCGAUAACGAACGAGACUCUGGCCUAUUAAAUAGUUCGCCGAUUUCGAUCUGUCGGCGUUAACUUCUUAGAGGGACAAGUGGCUUUUAGCCACGCGAGAUUGAGCAAUAACA
rnacentral:rRNA from 1 species